rnacentral:rRNA from 1 species
UACGUAGGGGGCGAGCGUUGUCCGGAUUUACUGGGCGUAAAGGGUGAGUAGGCGGUUAUAUUAGUCAGAUGUAAAAGGCUAUGGCUCAACCAUAGUUGGCAUUUGAAACUGUAUGACUUGAGUGCAGGAGAGGUAAGUGGAAUUCCUAGUGUAGCGGUGAAAUGCGUAGAUAUUAGGAGGAACACCAGUGGCGAAGGCGACUUACUGGACUGUAACUGACGCUGAGUCACGAAAGCGUGGGUAGCAAACAGGAUUAGAUACCCUGGUAGUCCACGCUGUAAACGAUGAGUGCUAGGUGUUGGCCAGCGAUGGUCAGUGCCGAAGUUAACACAAUAAGCACUCCGCCUGGGGAGUACGGUCGCAAGACUGAA